GGAAGGAUCAUUAUUGAAUGAACUUGGUUGGGUUGUUGCUGGCUCUUUCGGGAGCAUGUGCACACCUAACACCAAUUUCUUACCACCUGUGCACCUUUUGUAGACUUGGAAUAACUCUCGAGGCAACUCGGUUUUGGAGAUGGAUGUGCGAAAGCCAGCUUUCUCCUAUGUUUCCAGUCUAUGUUUUUAUAUAUACCCCUAUAGUAUGUCUAAGAAUGUAAUACAAGGGCUUAUUGCCUUUAACCCCUAUACAACUUUCAACAACGGAUCUCUUGGCUCUCGCAUCGAUGAAGAACGCAGCGAAAUGCGAUAAGUAAUGUGAAUUGCAGAAUUCAGUGAAUCAUCGAAUCUUUGAACGCACCUUGCGCUCCUUGGUAUUCCGAGGAGCAUGCCUGUUUGAGUGUCAUGAAAUUCUCAAUCUCUUCAACUUGUUGUUGAGGAGGCUUGGAUGUUUGGGAGUUGCGGGCUUGAUUUACAAGUCGGCUCUCCUUAAAUGCAUUAGCGGAACCUUUGUGGACCAGCUUUGGUGUGAUAAUUAUCUACGCCAUGGCAUGUGAAACAGAUUUAAUAGGGUUCAGCUCCUAAUAGUCUCCUGUAGACAAUCUUUUGACCAUUUGACCUCAAAUCAGGUAGGACUACCCGCUGAACUUAAGCAUAUCAAUAAGCGGAGGAAAAGAAACUAACAAGGAUUCCCCUAGUAACUGCGAGUGAAGCGGGAAAAGCUCAAAUUUAAAAUCUGGCGGUCUCUGGCCGUCCGAGUUGUAAUCUAGAGAAGUGUUAUCCGCGCUGGACCGUGUACAAGUCUCCUGGAAUGGAGCGUCAUAGAGGGUGAGAAUCCCGUCUUUGACACGGACUACCAGGGCUUUGUGAUGCGCUCUCAAAGAGUCGAGUUGUUUGGGAAUGCAGCUCUAAAUGGGUGGUAAAUUCCAUCUAAAGCUAAAUAUUGGCGAGAGACCGAUAGCGAACAAGUACCGUGAGG
rnacentral:rRNA from 1 species